GAUGAACGCUAGCUACAGGCUUAACACAUGCAAGUCGAGGGACCGGCGCACGGGUGAGUAACACGUAUCCACCCUGCCCUUUACUCGGGGAUAGCCUUUCGAUAGAAAGAUUAAUACCCGAUGUAAAGGUUGGGGAUGCGUUCCAUUAGGUUGUUGUUGAGGUAACGGCUCACCAAGCCUUCGAUGGAUAGGGGUUCUGAGAGGAAGGUCCCCCACAUUGGAACUGAGACACGGUCCAAAGUCCUACUGGAGGCAGCAGUGAGGAAUAUUGGUCAAUGGGCGUUAGCCUGAACCAGCCAAGUAGCGUGAAGGAUGAAGGCUUAUGGGUCGUAAACUUCUUUUAUAUAAGAAUAUGGAUUAUAUGAAUAAGGAUCGGCUAACUCCGUGCCAGCAGCCGCGGUAAUAC
rnacentral:rRNA from 1 species